UCUGAAAGGAAAGGACACAGUACAAAUUAAGGUAGGAAAGAGGUGAUGGAAGGUAAUGGAGCGAUGGGGGGCUUGGUUCAAAUCCUCGCUCAGGAGGUGGGAGGUUGGGUUUAAUGCAAACCUCGUCCUCUGUGUGAUGAGCAGCAAGGCAGCAUGAAGGCAGUGUGCUGCUCCUGCCUCUGCCUGGGCUCAGCCUUGCAAUCAGAAGCUCCAGAGCAGAGCUUUAAGCUGUGCACCAUCAGUGCCACCCCCUUAUUCUUUGCUAGGCUGAAAGCUCUUCAGAGCCGCGCUCUGCCUAACGGUUCCUCUCAUGCUCCAGAGGUUAAACAAACAGCAAGGGGACUUGCAGCCCAUUCUACAACAGGAGGAAACAAUCUCAUGUCCCCACCCCGAGCAGCUGUCACAAGGACUCACAAGGUUAUGAAACUCGGGGCACAUUCAGCGUAGGCACACGCAGGUGGGCAGAUGCAACACCCAGCCUUGGGCCCCCGGCUGCACUGAACCAUUUACCACCCCAUUUCCUCCUUCUGUUUUUACUCCCCCCCCACCAGAUGCAGCACAUGACUGGGACGUGGGCAGCACAGCUGGAGGAGCCACGUGCUUUGGGCUUGGUGCUGGCAGGGCUGGGGUGUGACAGCCUGGUGCAGUCCUGCCAACUCAGCUAACAAAAUGGGGAAGAAAUAAAGGGAGGAGGAAACAAAGAAGAAAGAAAAAAGGGAUGCAAACCUGCUGGGAUGCAAUGCUGGAAGCUUCCAGCAAGGAUUACAGGUACUUCUGGUCAGAAGGGUGAAUUCUGAUUCCUUCUGAGGAUCAGACAAAUCCUGCUUUUCCAUACAAUCUGCCCUUCUCAGGGCACUGGCUCAGCCCUUUGAGUCUGCACCACCCCAGCCUUUAAGGUACACCUCCUCAGAAGACAUCUGUGUAUUUUUUUGCUUAUUAGACACGAGGAACUAAUAGAGACAAAGGGACUCGCCCAGGGUCUCUCAGGAAACCUGUGGUUAGACAGGAUGCCAAAUUAAGAUCACCCAUGUCCCAAAUGACACCCAAAUCUCAGGGGCCUGCUUUUAUAACCACUGAACUCCUCAUUUUAAGUAAAGCCACAUACUGAAAGGUAAAAAAAAAACCCCACACAUGUGACCCUUCUGAUGUUUCAGUGCCUUCCAGCCUGACGCCAAUGCUGUCCUCCCCCCAUGAUGCUGCGUGCUGUUGUUCCCCUGCUCAGCUCCCCAAAUAGGGAGCAAAGCUGUUUCUUCCUCAGUGGAUUAUGGCAGAAUGUCUCACCCAGGUCCUGCACUACAGCCAGGGGAUCCUGGGGAUCCUCACCUCUACUGAGAGAGCAGCAGGGCUGGCAGCCCCCUGGCAGCUUUUGGGGUGAAAGGAUGAGGGUUUGGCUACUCACGUCUUCAUUCGUGGUCAGGUUUGAGGCAACUAAAUAAGUGUGAAAACCUGAGAGGCCCACAAUGGACCAUACGGAGAAAAAGCACACCACAGCUUCCAGCACACUUGCAGCACUGU